rnacentral:lncRNA from 1 species
GCGCGCUUUACGCGAGUGUACAGUAUGUGGAUACAGUUGAAUAUCAUAUGCACAUGCAUCCAUACACACUUGACAGAUGUUCAUAAUUAAACAGAAAACGAAGGAAGCUGCUAAAAGGUUAAAAGGAUCGUAUAUGAAGUUGUUUAGGCUCUCAUCCAGCAGAAGUGUGAUGAUAUCGGUUAGUAAACGUCUGAAACGUGGCAGAGAAUUUGCUGAUCUGAAUGCCCAAGUGUGAAAAGAUUGGAGAUAAUGAGAGAGAUCAAAUCUGAUAACAGAUCGGAUGACUGGUAGACUGUCUCAUCAAAAGGCUGACAAAAAAACAGGCAGCUGCAGAGACAGGGAGAAAGAGAGAGAGAGGUGCGCAACUGAAGCUUUCUUUCGUGUGCGUGUGAAACCAGAAACAACAACAGUCAGCGACUGCAGCGUGAAGAGAACAUGCAUUGCUCUCCUUUCAUCCUCACAUUGGUGUGUUUUUCUGAUAUUUUGGUGAAUUUUAUAACUUUAUCCCAAUAUCACCUGCUCUCUGAACAUCUCGGCUGAGUCUCUGGGCAAUGAAUCGUCCUACUGGCUGCAGUUCAGCACAUAUGAGUGAGAAUACUGCACUGAAUCGCAUUCACACGUCAGUCAAAUCACGAAUAUCGCGUGCAUGCUUGCUUGUAAACGACUCUGUUUCUGUGUAGCGAACGCUAUGACUGCGCACUGAAGAUGGGAGAACAGUCGUUACUGUGUGAGUUGGAUUUAUCACCGCAUGUGGUUUUCAACGAUGUGGAGAGCUACAGCAUCUCACUUCAUUCCGGUUACCAUGGCAACAACUUCUCCGUCGUACUUGAUGCUGACUUCAUGCCUAGUAAACACAUUCGUCCAGUCCCUCCAUCUGACCUGUCACUGCUCUGGGAGAAAGAUGGGGGCUCUUUUCCAGUGGCAGAGCGGAUAUGACGCAGACAGUUUAUCCAUACCCGACCUUCAGUACCAGCUCAGCAUUUACAGUCAACACAAGCUGUAUGAGGUAGAAGCUGUUGAACAGAAGGUGUUUGUGGACGAGUCUAGAUUUGAACCUCACACAAAUUACACAAUGCGUUUGAGAUCGCGGCCAGAUCAAGUGUUCUAUAAAGGCGUGUGGAGUCUGUGGGCCCCUGCGUUACACUGGAGAUCAGGGGACAUUCGCAAAGAGACUCCAGGAGGAUCUUUCCCUAUUGCCUGGUAUCUUCUGUUAGUGCCAUUACCGCUGGUCCUUCUGUUCUGUAUCCCAUACUCCAGAUGGAGGAAGAAUGAUUAUAUACCUUCACCAGCCCCUUAUUUCAGAGACUGGGAUGUGGAUGUUCAGAUCUGUACAACGCGGUCAGGUGAGAUGAGAGACGUAAUGCAGGGGGAGGAGUCUCUCCAGAUUGACAUUCUGACAGAAAGCACAGACACGCCCCCUCAACCCACCACCUUAGACUAUGAGAAAAUGGGAGAGAUCAACGAGCGUGAGUCUCCUGUGGGUUCAGAGGUCGACUCAGGCUGUUGGAUUCGUGAUUUUGUCACAACUGAGAGAGGAAGCAUCACAUGCAGUGAGGACUACUGCACACUCUCCAAUUCACACAUUUAUGCAGUCUAA